rnacentral:rRNA from 1 species
AUUGAACGCUGGCGGCAGGCCUAACACAUGCAAGUCGAGCGGAUGAAGGGAGCUUGCUCCUGGAUUCAGCGGCGGACGGGUGAGUAAUGCCUAGGAAUCUGCCUGGUAGUGGGGGAUAACGUCCGGAAACGGGCGCUAAUACCGCAUACGUCCUGAGGCAGAAAGUGGGGGAUCUUCGGACCUCACGCUAUCAGAUGAGCCUAGGUCGGAUUAGCUAGUUGGUGGGGUAAAGGCCUACCAAGGCGACGAUCCGUAACUGGUCUGAGAGGAUGAUCAGUCACACUGGAACUGAGACACGGUCCAGACUCCUACGGGAGGCAGCAGUGGGGAAUAUUGGACAAUGGGCGAAAGCCUGAUCCAGCCAUGCCGCGUGUGUGAAGAAGGUCUUCGGAUUGUAAAGCACUUUAAGUUGGGAGGAAGGGCAGUAAGUUAAUACCUCGCUGUUUUGACGUUACCAACAGAAUAAGCACCGGCUAACUUCGUG